GUAGUCAGUGUUUUUUGGGUUUUUGGUUUUAGUCUUUAGGUUUUUGUUUUUCUUUGUGUCAUUUAUGUGUUUGCAUGUUUUUGUCUCCUGUUUGUCUAUCUGUUUUCCUUUCCAGGGCUACUCCAAGGAACAAAUCAAAGCACACCUGGUGGAGGGUCCAAACUGUCACUACGAGUAGGAACCAAACCAAGAGAAAGGAGAAACAGUACAAAUGGAGAAUGUGCAUCCACCAUCAUUUCCUCUGUUAGCCACGAAAAUACUGAGUCUCUCCUACCUGUCUGCUCACUUGUACUUAGGGGUAUAAAAACCAAAAACUAGGAUAGUUUCUGGUGUCUUCAGAGUCUCAACUUUUCCAGCCCCUCCCCUGGUGCCGACCCCCCGGGCUACUUUCCACACCAUCCCAUGAAUACCCUGCUCCCACCCUAUAAAACCUUGGCCUUUCCCCACACAGGCCACGUGCUUUUCAUUGUCACGUUUCCCCACCCCCACGCCUUUACACACACCCCAACUUCUGAUGGCAAUGCUUUUCCCUCUCCUGUCCUCCUGGUGAAGCUUUAGACCUCAAGUUGCUGUCUACAUAUCAAGUUUGUGUCUACUAAACUGUUAAAAUUAGGAGCAGGAACGGUGACUUUGUCAUCUUUAUAUAAUCUAGCUGACUACCUGACACAGAAGGCAUCCAACAAAUAUUGGUUAAACAAAGGAAGGGAAGAGGAGAAAAGAACAGAAGAGAAAGGCAAAGAGUGGAAGAGAAAGGAGGGAAGGAAGGGUUUUAACGUCUGUCAGCCAAUAACGGUGCAAACGAGGACCUACGAGGUUGGUGAGCAUACAAUGGUGAAUUAAGACAAAUGGUCACUUAUGGAACACAGUCGAAUGUUUAUUUCUAAAAAAGCAAAAAAAUUCAAAUAUACCAUUAUAAAUUGAUUGUUUAAAAAUAGAGCAAUGUUAGGGGCGCCUGGGUGGCUCAGUCGGUUUGAGCGUCCAACUUCGGCUCAGGUCGUGAUCUCCUGGUUUGUGAGUGUGAGCCCUGCAUCAGGCUCUGUGCUGACAGCUAAGAGCCUGGAGCCUGUUUCAGAUUUCACACUCUGAAAUUUUCAGAGCUUGCACUGUCUCUCUCUGCCUCUCAAAAAUGAAUAAACAUUUUAAAAAAUGUUUAAGAAAUAAAGCAAUUUUGGGGAACUGCAAUGAACUUUCUUAAACCGAGAGUUUCCAGGAAUUGAGGAUACAGUUUUCAAUUUUUCUAAGACAAAAAGUGUUCUAAGCAAAAAGUCUGGAGAUGAAUAGUUCAUUAUCACUGUCUAUGAUUGCUGCAAACAACUCGAUCCCACUUGAAAAGAAUAUGGAUAAAAUAUCUGUAUCAAAUAAGCAAAUUAGAUUUCCCAGCGUCUCCUUGUAGGAGUCUGGAGACAGUCACCUUGAAAGCAGCUGCACUUCCUAAUCUGUGCUGAAUUUUCAGGCCUUUCCUUUACUGUGAUUAUGUUGAAUAAAUGAUCAUUAAGUCUCCUACUA